CUUGGCCCUAAACCUCAGUAAUUAGAUAACAAAACUACUCGCCAGAAUACUACAAGCAACAGCUUGAAACUCAAAGGACUUGACGGUGCUUUACAUCCCCCUAGAGGAGCCUGUUCCAUAAUCGAUAAACCCCGAUCCACCCUACCCUCUCUUGCUCAGCCUAUAUACCGCCAUCUUCAGCAAACCCUAAUGAAGGCCACAAAGUGAGCGCAAACGCCACCGCCGCAAAUACGUUAGGUCAAGGUGUAGCCCAUGAGACGGUAAAAAAUGGGCUACAUUUUCUGUUUCAGAAAACCCCACGAAAACCCUUAUGAAACUUAAGGGUCCAAGGAGGAUUUAGCAGUAAAUUAAGAAUAGAGUGCUUAAUUGAACCAGGCCAUAAAGCGCG
rnacentral:rRNA from 1 species